rnacentral:tRNA from 1 species
GACAGCAUGGUGUAGUGGUUUGAGUUUUGGACUAAAAUGCUGGAGACCAGGGUUCAAAUCCCUGCUCAGCCA